rnacentral:rRNA from 1 species
UGGGAGUGGCGUACUGCUCAGUAACACGUAGCUAACCUGCCCUUAGGACGGGUACAACCCCGAGAAAUUGGGGCUAAUACCCGAUAGGUGUGAUGUCCUGGAAUGGUAUCACGCCCAAAGGUCCCAACAGCAUGUUGUUGUUACGCCUAAGGAUGGGGCUGCGGCCGAUCAGGCAGUUGGUGAGGUAAUGGCUCACCAAACCUUUGACCGGUACGGGCCAUGAGAGUGGUAGCCCGGAGAUGGAUACUGAGACAAGGAUCCAGGCCCUACGGGGCGCAGCAGGCGCGAAACCUCCUCAAUGCACUCACGUGCGAAGGGGUUACCUCGAGUGCCAUCUGAAGAAGGGGGCUUUUCCUUGGUCUGAAUAGCCUUGGGAAUAAGAGGGGGGCAAGACUGGUGUCAGCCGCCGCGGUAACACCAGCCCCUCGAGUGGUGGGGAUGAUUAUUUGGCCUAAAGCGUCCGUAGCCGGCCGAGUAAGUUUCCCGUCAAAUCCAGCGUCUCAAGCGUUGGACCGCGGGAAAUACUGCCCGGCUAGAGAGUGGGAGAGGUAAGCGGUAUUCUGGGGGGUAGGGGCGAAAUCCUUUGAUCCCCGGAGGACCACCAGUGGCGAAGGCUGCUUACUAGAACACGUCUGACGGUCAGGGACGAAAGCUGGGGUAGCGAACCGGAUUAGAUACCCGGGUAGUCCCAGCUGUAAACGAUGCACGCUAGGUGGUUGGGGUCGGCCACGCGCCGCCCCAGUGCCGCAGGGAAGCCGUUAAGCGUGCCGCCUGGGGAGUACGGCCGCAAGGCUGAGACUUAA